CGACGGAGCGCCGACGUGUUUGUUUCGGAGAGCAACUUGCCCAGCCAGUCUUGUCCCUUCGUAAUUACUCUCGUCGCUAGUUGGAAGCCCAGACGCAAGCGAAAUCAGCGCAGCGUCUCCAGCUGCCUGACUGCUUGCCGUUCUCUUCGUUCCCCUCCUUGAGCCACCUGUUGAUCCUACUGAGUUCCCGGCCGUUAGCCGCUGACUGAUCCCACGGAGACAACGGAGGUUCGGAUGCGCAGCCAAGCCGUCGUCUUUGCAGUCAUUGACCAGCUGCUGGAGACCAUUCUCACUCGGCGUGGGAGCCGUUUGGGGAACAGUGGGAACGUGCUGGAGCUACAAGUGCUCACACAGUUGCACCACGUUCCUUGAGAAUUGGCCCCGCCUAGAAGCCUAGGAAUAUUUGCCUUCUGUGAAGGCCACCUUCGAACAACCAUCCUCAGCUGUGCCACAGCGCUCGAAAGCUUCCCCGCCCGGACACCAGAGCAGAGGGAAAGAUGCGUCCCGGUGAAACUGUUGCGAUCCCUGCCAGGAAGAUGACCCUGGACACUGACAGCCAGAAGGGCUUCAAGGCAUUCAGCAAGGAUCCGCAGCCGUCGUUCAAGAGCAAUUACAGCAACGACCAGAAGAACCAGCAGACGAAGAAUGACCAGCGGAAUCCCUGGGGCCCCACAUUCAGGGACCGCCAGCACUUUAUCGACAUGCACUUCAACUAGCACCGACAAAGUCGCUCUUGGCUUUCUGCUGCGGCUGCGAUUCUGAUUGAUUCGCCACGGGACGCUUUCACCAUAUACAAGAGUAAAUCUGUGUGGGGAGGCUUCGACACUGCUGCGCACCUGGAGAUGGUUGCUUCUUAUUUAGUUUACUUCCUAUUUACAAAUUUACACAAGUCCUUUUGGAAUCUUCGUUUUUAGGUGCUUAUUGAAUCGCUAUGAAGAAAAGAAUAAUAAUGCUUUAAAUGCCGCGUAAAUAAAAAAAGCGGCGAAUACUCACUAUA